GAUGAACGCUAGCUACAGGCUUAACACAUGCAAGUCGAGGGGUAACGAGAGGAAAGCUCGCUUUCCUUGUCGACGACCGGCGCACGGGUGAGUAACGCGUAUCCAACCUGCCCCCAACUAGGGAAUAACCUUGCGAAAGUAAGACUAAUACCCUAUAAUUUCCUCAGCUGUCAUCUGACGAGGAAUAAAGAUUUAUCGGUUGUGGAUGGGGAUGCGUCUGAUUAGCUUGUUGGCGGGGUAACGGCCCACCAAGGCAACGAUCAGUAGGGGUUCUGAGAGGAAGGUCCCCCACAUUGGAACUGAGACACGGUCCAAACUCCUACGGGAGGCAGCAGUGAGGAAUAUUGGUCAAUGGGCGGAAGCCUGAACCAGCCAAGUAGCGUGCAGGAUGACGGCCCUAUGGGUUGUAAACUGCUUUUAUACAGGAAUAAAGUUAGCCACGUGUGGUUAUUUGUAGGUACUGUAUGAAUAAGGACCGGCUAAUUCCGUGCCAGCAGCCGCGGUAA
rnacentral:rRNA from 1 species